rnacentral:rRNA from 1 species
CCUACGGGUGGCAGCAGUGAGGAAUAUUGGUCAAUGGACGAGAGUCUGAACCAGCCAAGUAGCGUGAAGGAUGACUGCCCUAUGGGUUGUAAACUUCUUUUAUAUGGGAAUAAAACGUUCCACGUGUGGGAUUUUGUAUGUACCAUAUGAAUAAGGAUCGGCUAAUUCCGUGCCAGCAGCCGCGGUAAUACGGAGGAUCCGAGCGUUAUCCGGAUUUAUUGGGUUUAAAGGGAGCGUAGGUGGAUUGUUAAGUCAGUUGUGAAAGUUUGCGGCUCAACCGUAAAAGUGCAGUUGAAACUGGCAGUCUUGAGUACAGUAGAGGUGGGCGGAAUUCGUGGUGUAGCGGUGAAAUGCUUAGAGAUCACGAAGAACUCCGAUUGCGAAGGCAGUUCACUGGACUGCAACUGACACUGAGGCUCGAAAGUGUGGGUAUCAAACAGGAUUAGAUACCCUGGUAGUC